CACAUUAGUUAGUUGGUGGGGUAACGGCCUACCAAGACGGUGAUGUGUAGCCGGGCUGAGAGGUCGAACGGCCACAUUGGGACUGAGACACGGCCCAAACUCCUACGGGAGGCAGCAGUAAGGGAUUUUCGGCAAUGGAGGAAACUCUGACCGAGCAAUGCCGCGUGAACGAUGAAGUAUUUCGGUACGUAAAGUUCUUUUAUUAGGGAAGAAAAGAUGGUGGAAAAACCAUUAUGACGGUACCUAAUGAAUAAGCCCCGGCUAACUAUGUGCCAGCAGCCGCGGUAAUACAUAGGGGGCAAGCGUUAUCCGGAAUUAUUGGGCGUAAAGGGUGCGUAGGCGGUUAAAUAAGUUUAUGGUCUAAGUGCAACGCUCAACGUUGUGAUGCUAUAAAAACUGUUUAGCUAGAGUUGGAUAGAGGCAAGUGGAAUUCCGUGUGUAGUGGUAAAAUGCGUAAAUAUACGGAGGAACACCAGAAGCGAAGGCGGCUUGCUGGGUCUUAACUCACGCUGAGGCACGAAAGCGUGGGGAGCAAACAGGAUUAGAUACCCUGGUAGUCCACGCCGUAAACGAUGAGUACUAAACGUUGGAUAAAACCAGUGUUGAAGUUAACACAUUAAGUACUCCGCCUGAGUAGUACGUACGCAAGUAUGAAACUUAAAGGAAUUGACGGGACUCCGCACAAGCGGUGGAUCAUGUUGUUUAAUUCGAAGGUACCCGAAAAACCUCACCAGGUCUUGACAUGGUUUUGCAAAGCUGUAGAAAUACAGUGGAGGUUAUCAGAAGCACAGGUGGUGCAUGGUUGUCGUCAGCUCGUGUCGUGAGAUGUUGGGUUAAGUCCCGCAACGAGCCCAACCCUUGUUCUUAAUUGCCAUCACGUUAAGUUGGGGACUUUAGCAAGACUGCCAAUGAUAAAUUGGAGGAAGGUGGGGACGACGUCAAAUCAUCAUGCCCCUUAUGACCUGGGCUACAAUCGUGAUACAAUGGCUGUUACCAAAGGUAGCUAAAGCGUAAGCUUCUGGCG
rnacentral:rRNA from 1 species